rnacentral:rRNA from 1 species
ACUCCUACGGGAGGCAGCAGUGGGGAAUAUUGCACAAUGGGCGCAAGCCUGAUGCAGCCAUGCCGCGUGUAUGAAGAAGGCCUUCGGGUUGUAAAGUACUUUCAGCAGUGAGGAAGGUGGGUAUGUUAAUAGCAUAUUCAUUUGACGUUAGCUGCAGAAGAAGCACCGGCUAACUCCGUGCCAGCAGCCGCGGUAAUACGGAGGGUGCGAGCGUUAAUCGGAAUUACUGGGCGUAAAGCGCAUGCAGGUGGUUGUUAAGUCAGAUGUGAAAGCCCGGGGCUCAACCUCGGAAUUGCAUUUGAAACUGGCAAACUAGAGUACUGUAGAGGGGGUAGAAUUUCAGGUGUAGCGGUGAAAUGCGUAGAGAUCUGAAGGAUACCGGUGGCGAAGCGGCCCCUGGACAGAUACUGACACUCAGAUGCGAAAGCGUGGGAGCAAACAGGAUUAGAUACCCCUGGUAGGUCAGUC